rnacentral:rRNA from 1 species
GACGUAGGAGGCGAGCGUUGUCCGGAUUCAUUGGGCGUAAAGAGCACGCAGGCGGUUUGGCAAGUCGGACGUGGAAAAUCCGGGGCUCAACCCCGGACCUGCAUCCGAAACUGCCCGACUAGAGGUAGGUAGGGGAGAUCGGAAUUCCUGGUGUAGCGGUGAAAUGCGCAGAUAUCAGGAGGAACACCGGUGGCGAAGGCGGAUCUCUGGGCCUUACCUGACGCUCAGGUGCGAAAGCUAGGGGAGCGAACAGG